AUGUGUAUCCAUCAGUCAUCUUGUUGAAAUGCAGAUUCUGAUUCACCCUGUCUGUGGUGGGCCAUGAUUCUUCAUUUCCAACCAGCUCCAGGAGGAUCCCAUG
rnacentral:pre_miRNA from 1 species